rnacentral:rRNA from 1 species
GAUGAACGCUGGCGGCGUGCCUAAUACAUGCAAGUCGAGCGAACAGACGAGGAGCUUGCUCCUCUGACGUUAGCGGCGGACGGGUGAGUAACACGUGGAUAACCUACCUAUAAGACUGGGAUAACUUCGGGAAACCGGAGCUAAUACCGGAUAAUAUAUUGAACCGCAUGGUUCAAUAGUGAAAGACGGUUUUGCUGUCGCUUAUAGAUGGAUCCGCGCCGCAUUAGCUAGUUGGUAAGGUAACGGCUUGCCAAGGCAACGAUGCGUAGCCGACCUGAGAGGGUGAUCGGCCACACUGGAACUGAGACACGGUCCAGACUCCUACGGGAGGCAGCAGUAGGGAAUCUUCCGCAAUGGGCGAAAGCCUGACGGAGCAACGCCGCGUGAGUGAUGAAGGUCUUCGGAUCGUAAAACUCUGUUAUUAGGGAAGAACAAAUGUGUAAGUAACUAUGCACGUCUUGACGGUACCUAAUCAGAAAGCCACGGCUAACUACGUG